AUUGAACGCUGGCGGCAGGCCUAACACAUGCAAGUCGAGCGGAUGAAGGGAGCUUGCUCCUGGAUUCAGCGGCGGACGGGUGAGUAAUGCCUAGGAAUCUGCCUGGUAGUGGGGGAUAACGUCCGGAAACGGGCGCUAAUACCGCAUACGUCCUGAGGGAGAAAGUGGGGGAUCUUCGGACCUCACGCUAUCAGAUGAGCCUAGGUCGGAUUAGCUAGUUGGUGGGGUAAAGGCCUACCAAGGCGACGAUCCGUAACUGGUCUGAGAGGAUGAUCAGUCACACUGGACCUGAGAACCGGCCCAGAUCCCUACGGGAGGCAGCAGGGGGGAAUAUUGGCCAUUGGGCGAAAGCCUGAUCCAGCCAUGCCGCGUGUGUGAAGAAGGUCUGCGGAUUGUAAAGCCCUUUAAGUUGGGAGGAAGGGCAGUAAGUUAAUACCUUGCUGUUUUGACGUUACCAACAGAAUAAGCACCGGCAACCUUCGU
rnacentral:rRNA from 1 species